AACGUAGGAGACAAACGUUAUCCGGAGUUACUGGGCGUAAAGGGCGUGUAGGUGGUUACGUAAGUCUGGCGUGAAAUUUCUCGGCUUAACCGAGGCAGGUCGUCGGAUACUGCGAGACUAGAGGACGGUAGAGGCGUGUGGAAUUCCACGUGUAGCAGUGAAAUGCGUAGAGAUGUGGAGGAACACCGAUGGCGAAGGCAGCCCCCUGGGUCAAGACUGACGCUCAUGCACGAAAGCGUGGGGAGCAAACAGG
rnacentral:rRNA from 1 species